rnacentral:lncRNA from 1 species
UUAUACUCAUAUCAUGCUCCAUUUAAUCAAAUUUGAUCAAAAUUCUCUCGAAAAAUUCAAUUUCCUCCUUGGGUGGCAAAAUUAUCAUUUUGCCCAAUAAUCGGUCAAUUUUCCUUAUUGAUUUCAAUUUGAUCCUCGAACUCCGAAUCACCAUUCUAAGUAGAUUUUGGGGUUUCAGAACUCUCAAAUUCCUUUUAAAUUUUUCAUUUGAACUAGCUCGAGGUAUAAAUCAACUUCACAGCACCUCUAGGGGCAAUACCGUCUUUUGUCGAUUUCUCGGGCUUCCUCAAUAUACAAACAUUCUAUCGAGCAUGUGAAUGACAUCAUAAUUAUUUUACAAAGUAGGGUUUGACACCCAGAAUGUCAACCGAAACCCCGCAAGGCUUUAAUAUCAGCUUCUCAUUUUCCUUGUGAGUAACUGUUGCCAAAUACCACGUUCUAAAAGAUUUUAAACUGUUUCCAACUUAAAACAAACAAAAUAAUAAUUUUCGUCUCAUAUGGGUAUUUUGGUCAUUUUUUUCAUAAAAUUUCGAAACUAACUGAACUGUAAUAUACAACUACAAAACACAUAAUUCAAAAUCAAAAAUAAAUUUGGAUGUCUAAAACAUUCAUUUAAAAUGAAAUUAUGACUAUUAGAAUAAAAUAAAAAUAUAAAAUAAAAUAUUCAAUUUUCUAAUAAAACAAUAUUUUUAGAACACUAUGUAAAUAAUUUUUACAGCGUAAAAGCAAAAUAAAUUCAUACAUGCUAUUAACAAAUAACCAAAGUAUAAAAUUUAAUUUACAGUGACACAUGGGCUCACGAAUGACAAAAAGUAUUUAAAGAAAUGAACCUACAGUUUUUGGAUGUGGCAAGUCCAACUGUAGUCCUCGUCGAUAUCAGUUAUCUACAAUCUAUUCUGAGCCUCAAAUGGGUGAAAAAGAGGGUGGUGAGAUUAUAAAAUCUCAGUGAGUAAACAAAUAUCAUUUAAAAUAUCUAAAGGCGAGUAAAAGGAGACUAUUAAAACAUUUCAUUAAACUGUAAUUUAUCAUCUUUCAACUUAUUUCAACCAAAUGAAAUCAAUUUAUUUAAAUCAAGUAAUCUGUAUGACUUAUGAAUUUCUUAAAAGCUUGGCUCACGCCAAAAAUUAUUAUCAUACUCAGUUAUCUGGGAUACCUUGACCGAGGGCUAUCCUAACUGAGUCCGCCAAGGCUAUUAGAAAGUCAUGUACGCAUAAAUCAUGUUUUUAUUUUGAAAACAUAGCCAUUUCUUGGCAUUGGCUGAGUUCCCCUUCACGUGGUGGUUUGGCGUGAAGUGAACUCUAAAAGUUAUACCUCGGGAGUUACCCUACUCGCCUCUCCAACUGAGGUAAAAUAUAACGGGUUUACCGUGCCCCACUAAUAGGCUAGUCCAUGGAAACCCGCCCACUGCAGUAAGCUACACCCACCAUACAAUAAAAUUUUGACAGCAUGACAGGGCUAAUAUAUUAUUACCCAGCCUGCAAGGGUAAAAUAAAGCAAUUCAUACAAUUCAUAAAACACAAUCCAGCUAGUCAUGCCAACACAUUAACAUAAGCCAUCAAUUCCAAUCAUAAAUUUACAACAUACCAGUGGUAUCCAAUUACUCUAUUUUUCAAAAUCAUUUUUUCAUUUCAAGACAAUUCAAAAAAUCAUUUUAUUUAAACAUAUUUUAUUUGUAAAACCAAAAAUUAACCAUUUAAACUCAUUUUCAUAAAAUUCCACCAAAACUGAUUAAAAACAUACUUUAGAUAAUUAAAAUGAUGAUAAGGUUACUCACAGUAUUAGGAGUUCGAUAUACUCCUAUUCCCGGUCUUCGGGCACAAUCUCUUUACUCUUAUUAGAGGGCUCACCACCUAUACAUCAUACGUGACAUGAAUUUUAAUAAAUUGUGUUAAUUUAUCAUAAACUAUUUCAGGCUCUAUAAAUCUAUAUGAAUGCACGAAAUGUGAUGCAAAAUGUCUGAAUAGCCGUUUAAAUACGGUGUUCGACCUAAUUCGCACUAUUCUCGGUGUAAUUGGCUAAAAUCUCCAACUUAACUCCAAAUCAAUUCUUCUCACUAUCUACACUCCAAUUAUACCUAAAUUACCUCAGUGACUGUGAAUGAGAUUCAAUUUAUCAAUCCCGGGUCAAUAAUCACACUUGUCUAUACGUUGAGCAAAAAUUCAUAUUUUCACACCAAAAUUUCCCAUUUAAUUUCUAAUCUCACCAAACAUCAAAUAUCACCAAAAUAUCAUGAAAUAUCAUCAAUUUUAGCCACAAUAUCCUCCUUAGGAAAUUUGGCUAUUGAUGGUUGAUGGGGAAAAUGAAUUCUUUUCUUGUUGUUUUGUUUCUAAAUAUACUAAACUAACUAAAAACACUAACAUAACUUAAAAUCAAAUCAAUCUAACAUCUUUCUCUCUCCAUGCCCAUUUUAACUAGCCAUAAAUUCACCAUGAAAACAUGAAAUCUAACCAUGAAAAAUAAGGAGAAAUGCAUGGGAAAGGUAGAUCACAAGUCAAAAUCAAUAAAUUUUACCUUUGAUUGUUUGAUUACUUGAAAUCCACUAAUUUUUCCUUGAAUUUUCCCACCUAGGGUUCUUGUUCUUCUUUUCCUCUCUUUGUUCUUGCUAUGGCCGGCCAUAAU